AAAUUUAUUCAAUUAUUUUAGAAGAACGCUCUUUGAAUUUGGGCAUAUCAAUAUUCUUUGUAAAAUAUGUUUACCCAAAAAUCCAAUAAUUUUUUAGAUAGAGCUACUGGCUAAAAUGCUUUUUAUACGGCGCAUCUCCGAUGAAAUUUGAUUCAAAGAACUUUGCGACCUUUUGAAUUUCUGCUUUUUUGCGACUAUGUGCUAAUUUUUUCUGAAAAUGCAAAAACUGGUUUUUAAUUGAACGUAGAAAAUUCCAAUUCGCCUUCGUUGUUUUUGUUGUACCAGUGUGUUUUACACUGAGGCGGCAGCCCUUGCCGAUGAAGGACUCCAUCGGGUCAAUCCGAUACGUACAGCCAGCUGCCAUCAAAUUCCUCUACGUUCCAAUCGAAUUUCGAGAUAUGUGUCUGUCUCCGCUCUCUGUUUCUGUCUUUCCUGUCGGUGUGAUUCGUGGAGCAACUUCUUGGAUUCACUCAAAUUCCACACAGAUUAUUUCUCAAUUUUUCUAAUGGCAAAUAAUUUUAAGAAAACUUCAUAUGUUCAGUACUAAUA